rnacentral:rRNA from 1 species
UACGUAGGGGGCUAGCGUUGUCCGGAAUCAUUGGGCGUAAAGAGCGUGUAGGCGGUCCGGUAAGUCCGCUGUGAAAGUCGGGGGCUCAACCCUCGAAUGCCGGUGGAUACUGUCGGGCUAGAGUGCGGAAGAGGCGAGUGGAAUUCCUGGUGUAGCGGUGAAAUGCGCAGAUAUCAGGAAGAACACCGGUGGCGAAGGCGGCAUUCUGGACCGAUAUUGACGCUGAGGAGCGAAAGCCAGGGGAGCGAACGGG